rnacentral:lncRNA from 1 species
CAGACCGCACUUUCCCAUCAAGAACCUUCCAUGGAGUUCUAUGGGAUAUCACACAGAUGGGCAAGAUGGCAGUGGGUUUAAAUACUUUCUGUUUAAGCUGCUGGAGAAGACAAAAAUGACAUGUUUUGUCACCCACUGCUGAAGUCAGUGUACAGUGCGACCGUCCGACAUGCCUGCAGUGUUUCCUGCAACUCACAGGCGGCAGCACCUGCAUGUUUUCUCAGAGCACUGGCACCAAGGGACAAAGGACAGGAGGUCUUUUUUCUUUUUACAGAUGUGUUUAUUUUUGUUUAUGUAUAUGAGUGUUUGUCUGCAUGUACGUAUAUGGAUCAUCUGUGUGCCUGGUGUCCGCAGAGGCCAGAAGAGAGCAUCCUUGGAGCUGGAGUUACCGGGACUCUUGAAGGACUGGUAUUUGCCAUCUUACUUUUGGGACAGUCAUCUCCAUAUUCCCGGAAUACCUCUAGCAAGAGAAGAACCUGCAGAGCCACACAGAGACACCAGAGGGCAGCAGAGCCUCUAAACUGAAAAAAAAAAAAAAAGAACCGGACAGGCCUCUGGCUGGGAUGUGAACUGCACAAACCACAGAAAGAGAGACGUUUGAAAGGGCUUCAAGGAACCAGAGAAUGGCCUCUGUGCUGACCUGUAAAGAUUUUCAAUUAGUACAAGAUCACUGAAGAAAACUCUCAGCCAGAACGUUCUAGAGUUACUUUCAUAGCUACCGAAAAAGCAACACCCAGCAUGACAACAAACAAUCUAACAGAC